rnacentral:rRNA from 1 species
AUUGAACGCUGGCGGCAUGCUUUACACAUGCGAGUCGAACGGCAGCACGGGCUUCGGCCUGGUGGCGAGUGGCGAACGGGUGAGUAAUAUAUCGGAACGUACCCAGAAGUGGGGGAUAACGUAGCGAAAGUUACGCUAAUACCGCAUACGAUCUAUGGAUGAAAGCAGGGGACCACAAGGCCUUGUGCUCCUGGAGCGGCCGAUAUCUGAUUAGCUAGUUGGUGAGGUAAAGGCUCACCAAGGCGACGAUCAGUAGCUGGUCUGAGAGGACGACCAGCCACACUGGAACUGAGACACGGUCCAGACUCCUACGGGAGGCAGCAGUGGGGAAUUUUGGACAAUGGGCGCAAGCCUGAUCCAGCAAUGCCGCGUGAGUGAAGAAGGCCUUCGGGUUGUAAAGCUCUUUUGUCAGGGAAGAAACGGUAGAGGCUAAUAUCCUUUGCUAAUGACGGUACCUGAAGAAUAAGCACCGGCUAACUACGUG